rnacentral:tRNA from 1 species
GCCACGGUGGUCUAGCGGUUAGAACGCUGGGCUUGUAAUCCUGGGGUCUCGGGUUCGAUUCCCGGCGGGGCC